GAAAAGACGGAGCUGGGGCGGUGUUGAGCCCCGCUGGGUGUGGCUGCCCCUGAGCUGGGAAAGGGGGUCUCUGCGGGGAGGGGCCCGAGGGUGGCGUUUCUCUCCGGACUUGAUUGUCCCCGAGGAGGCGCUGGCGGACGUGCAGGCUGGGAGACGUUCCGCCGGAGCUCCAGGUGAACGCCGCGGUCCUCUAACAGGUUCCUCAGUUUCCCUCAAGAACAUCUAAAAUAAUUUUUCGGAAGAAAUUUGGAAGACAUGGCUGCGAGUUGUCUUUGGUAUCAGCCUUUAUACUGGACUGUAACUUCAGAGAACACUGUUUCAGAGGAGCUAAGGAUCUCUCUGGUGUUCCAAUCAGUGGGAAUUCUGGACUGUUUAAGCAUGUGCUCUGGAACUGAAGAGCUGGGGAAAGGUUCCUGGUGUCCUAAUUUGCUCUCCCUAAGGUUUCACAAAACCUAGACAGCCUUUGUA